ACCAAAGUUAAUUUAUGUUUGGAUAUUAACAGCAUAUUCUGCUCUGCGCACGAGUUAUUUUUAUGUUUUCUAUUUUUUUACGUGCGUUGGUACUUUUGCAAGUUCAUGCAUUUGCGUAGAAGUUAAAUGAUGUAUAUUAAUGUUUCCGUGUAUUCCAGCUGGACAAGAUCCCACCCACUGAAAACACGGUGAAUCAUGAUGAACUGCUAACCCAUUCUAGUGAU
rnacentral:lncRNA from 1 species